GUCCACGCCUAACUAUGAUCACUCGAUCUGUUCCGAGCAAUCGGGAUGGGUCCAAGCGAAAGCGUUAAGUGAUCCACCUGGGAAGUACGAUCGCAAGGUUGAACUCAAAGGAAUUGGCGGGUCCGCACAAGCGGUGGAGCAUGUGGUUAAUUCGAUGAUAAGCGAGGAACCUUACCUGGGCUAGAAUGCGUGAUGCCAGUCCCGGAAACGGGAUCUUCCCGAGCAAUCGGGACGUCAUGCAAGGUGCUGCAUGGUUGUCGU
rnacentral:rRNA from 1 species